rnacentral:ncRNA from 1 species
GUGAUUGGUUCGCCGUAAAGGCGAUUAAAAUGGGAAUCAGGUGAAAAUCCUGGACUGUCCCGCAGCUGUAAGUUGCCCUUCAUGGUGUAAACACGGCGUCACUGAGUUUUAAUGAUUGAGCGAAACAUUUGCUCACCUCUCGGGAAGACGUUUGCAUCGGCAACAAGUCAGAAGACCUGCCUCUCACUAUU